rnacentral:rRNA from 1 species
GGAAUAUUGGACAAUGGGCGCAAGCCUGAUCCAGCCAUGCCGCGUGUGUGAAGAAGGCCUUCGGGUUGUAAAUCACUUUUGUUGGGGAAGAAACAGCGCAGGUUAAUCACCGUCGUGAAUGACGGUACCCACAGAAUAAGCACAGGCUAACUUCGUGCCAGCAGCCCCGGUAAUACGAAGGGUGCAAGCGUUACUCGGAAUUACUGGGCGUAAAGCGUGCGUAGGCGGUUUGUUAAGUCUGAUGUGAAAGCCCCGGGCUCAACCUGGGAAUGGCAUUGGAUACUGGCAGGCUAGAAUGUGGUAGAGGGUGGUGGAAUUCCCGGUGUAGCGGUGAAAUGCGUAGAGAUCGGGAGGAACAUCCGUGGCGAAGGCGGCCACCUGGACCAACAUUGACGCUGAGGCACGAAAGCGUGGGGAGCAAAC